rnacentral:lncRNA from 1 species
UUUUUUUUCAACUGUGGAAUUAUUCUUCUUCUGGGCCCUCUGGAAAUGCAGUGGGAAAACCACUGAUAUGAAAAGGUAAACAUGUUGGAAGAAGACACUUGUAAAUUCCUUCUUAUUUCCAGGCAUCAUAAUGUAACUCACAAGAAACAAAUGAAGCAGGAGUCUUGGGCUUGGUUCUAGCUUUCCCCCAUCAUAGGCUGACAGUCGGCUUCUCAGGGUCUUGGUUUCUCACUAUAAAAGGAAUUGUUUGGCCUCUGUUAUCUGCUAAAGUCCUUCCAGCUUUAACAUUUUAUGAUUCUAGGAUCUUUGAAAAUUUCAUUAUUGGAAGGCCAAGGUUGAUUUUUGCUAUGAAUCAAAAAACAAAAACAAAAACAAAAACAAAAACCAGCCAAAAAACAACCAGAUAUUCCAAUAUAAAUGACCAGAUGCCCAGGGGACAACAGACACUUGAGGAAAGAAAGCAAGGGAGCAGGGAAGGCCUGGUAUGUCAAGUACAGUACAGAAAUACAGUGAGCCGAAGAAGACUUCAUGGCAUACCUACCUGAAAAGGGACAUUAAUACCAGUAAUGAGGGAUGCCUCGGUGGCUCAGCGGUUGAGUGUCUGCCUUUCGCUCAGGUCAUGAUCCCCGGGGUCCAGGAUGGAGUCCCACAUUGGGCUCCCUGCGGGGAGCCUGCUUCUCCCUCUGCCUGUGUCUCGGGCUCACUCUCUGUGUCUCUCAUCAAUAAAUAAAUAAAUCUUUAAAAAAAAAAACAGUAACGAGAGGUUUUGUUUGCUUUUUACCAUCAUCAAAGAGAAGACAUUUAAAUCAGACCAUUUGAUGAUCAUGGUGCAAAAGGUGCCCUAAGGGAAGGAAAUGAAGUAUUAUAGCUGAGACCAAAAGAAUUAUUUGUGGGGAAGCCACUGGGGAGAUUCUCCUUUCUAAAUUGUCGUCCAAGACAGAAAAACAAACAGAGCUAGACACAGAGAAUAUUCUGGGCCAUCUAGGAGAAAACCCUGAAGGAACUGUAUGUACAAUCAGAGAACAAAUCUUUGGUCUGUCACUAUGAACUAUUCUUGGGCCAGAGCUUGCUGGCAUGAUCCCAUUUUAUCAAGAACAUCAUGGAGGGCAGAACGGGCAUGGAGGGGACCAGGCUGAUUUCAGGACCCCAGCAGUGCAAUAACCCCUAACUAUCCUUCCAGCCUCUCUUUGGGAAGCAGAAACAAGUGGUACCCAGAAAAUUGGAUUACCAUGAGCUAUCCAUCUCUUCCUAAAGUGAUGCUAAAGUUCAAGUUCCGAAAGAAAUCUGGAAGGAAAGCAGAGAAGAGCUUUUCCCUUCUCUUUAAGAUGAUGAUACUGAUAAAUGACCAUAAGAAAAUAACUACCAUUUACUAAACACUUUCUGUGUACCAGUCUGUGGCACACUGGUCAUUGGUCUGGCUUUGAAAUAAAAGAGAAAAAUGGGACAGUGACUUUUUUUUUUUUUAAGAUUAUAGAGAACUGUGCCUUUUAAGAAAUGAUUUAGGUAGUAGAACUAAUCCAACCAUAUAUAAAAUAGGGGCCAUUUACAAUUUCACCUAAGGAAUCUGAAGUAAAAUAUCUAACAAUGAAAGUCAAGUAGCCUUUAUUUAUAGGAGAGGUGAGUUGCAGUUCAUGUGGUGUGAUCGAAGGUGUUAGGGAAGUCCAGCUGCUCAAAAUAUGUCUUCCUGACCCUCUUAAAAUACUGCCUGGAUUUACACCAUCAAAAUAAUCCCUUUUCAAUGUGGUUUGUAUUGUAAAAUGCACAUUUACUUCACAUUCAGCUGUUGUCAUGCUUCCUAGUGAAUAGUGGAGCAGGCUGACAACUAGCUAAGGACAUCAAGUGAGGAGACAAAGAUUUGAAGGAGGAAGGGGAGGGAUCCUGUCGGUAAGGGUGGCAUUGCUCUAGUCAGUUCCACAGCAUGUGGGCGCCUGAUAGGUCCCAGAUCCUGAGCUAGAUCCAAGAGAUUAGAAGGUAAGUAAAUAUGGUUCAUUGCCUC